rnacentral:tRNA from 1 species
GGCAGCUCUGCCGAAUUCCGCUUCGGUGGGCUUCGUUGAGCUACGGAUUGAAAAUCCGCUUGUCGGUGGUUCGGUUCCGCCCCAGGCCACCA